GCAUCACUGUGGAGGGGGGCGGGGGGCGGGCAGCAUCUUAGGACCAGCGGCGUUGGUGGCUCUUCUCCUUGGGGAUAACUCGUGAACUCGAGCAGUAGGAUCCCAGCAGGGAGAGAAAUCAGGAUAAAAAUGAGAACUAGAAUUUCAUUCCCAUCCGGGUCGAACGACCCACACGCAUAACUCCUUUCUGGGACACUCGCUCGCAUCUCAGCACCGGCAGGAAGGGCCGGGAGAGCGCGCAACUCCGCGUCUGAGCCUCGCGGUGGAGGCUGGCGGGUUGGCUCACACGGACGCAGGACACCGCCCUCCGGGACCCGGGUCGGAGCAAGCCAGCCUUGUUGCUGCGGGGACCACGCGGGAGAGACUUUUGACACAAGCCACGUUUGGUUUCAAAGAAAAGAGGGUACUUACCUGAAAUUUGCACUCCCAUGGCGGUGCAGGGCCCUCCGCUCAAAGCGGAGCUCCACCCGAAUUUGACAAGUGAAGUUGGUAGACUUGGGACCAUAAACUGGAAAACAAGAUAUGAAAGUAUGCUCCAAUCAAUCUUUACUGUUCAUAGAGGACAACCAUUUGGGAAAUUCACAGACCAUUGAACCAUGUCUCUGAAUUCCCAGUUCAGCACCUCUACUUUUAGAGAAGCGAAACACAACUCUGAAGAGGACACUUUGAAAGUGUAACAAAAUGACAUCCAGAGCUUAUCCAGAUGAGCAGAGAGCAACUGAAUUGCCUUCUGCUCCUUUGUUGAAGAAGAGAGAAAAUUCUUCAACCAGCUAGAAAUGGCACGAGCAGGCCAUCCCUUUCUGAGCAGCUGCUACCAAGUCAUGCAGAAGUUCACUGGAGAUUCCUGAUGAAAACACAAGACAAGCCGGACCCAUGGAUCCAUGAAACAGUCUCCCCUUGAUAUGAAUCAAAGGUCAUUGGAUAGGUUCCUUGUUAAAGUUGCACAAAAAGAAAAAGGUUCCAUUGAGCCAAUAGAUAGCAGUGAUUGUGCCAGUGAUAGUGAAAGUCAUCCUACACAAUAAACCUCCUCUCAUCUCCCUCACACCAGCCACAAGGGUUUUCAAAGGCUCAGCUUGGCAGUCCUGGGAAGAACACGGGUCCCCUCUGGGCCUCUUGGCGGCUCUCACAGGCCAGCAGAAAGAAACGGCCUUUGGCUGAUGCUGAUGGAGUUAGCGGAGGAGUAGAGAGGAGGCGCCUUCUGAAGCACAGCCUUCCAGUUACACAGCAAACCACCUUUGGAAUGUUCCUGAUGUUUCAUAUGCAUUACUUCAGGUAAACCUCAGAAAAGUCCCUACUAAGCACCAGACAACAGGAAAGAAUGUUACUAUUACCAGCACGGAAAAGAACAGCUACUUGACAGAAGAAACAACCCCAACCAUCCUCACUGUAAGAAGAGUGUUACUUCUCUGUAAGGAGCCGCCUCCCUGGCAGCUGCCGUUAUUACAGGUGCCUCGCCCUCACCCAAACUCCAAAGACAACCACAUAUUUGAGCACUAAUUAUUUGUGAGAGGCUGGAAAAGAGAGGAGAAUAAUGUGUCAUUUUUUAAUAGAGAGCUGCAGGGCUGCAUAGUAGCAAUGAGAAGACAAGGGGCUUGUCUUGGGUGACUGAACAAAUUCUAGGGCAGCCACGGCUGCACCCCUGGGGGCAGAAGAGUGAUGGUCACUGGGGGCCACUCGGGCAUCCCUGGCAUUACUGAUGGGAGAGGCAAUGGUGUGCAUUGGUGCGUGCACACACCAGGGCCCCGGGGAUACUGAGGCAAAGACUAGACAUAGGCCCUGGAGAGGUCAAAUGUUACAUUUGAUAGGAGCAAAUACUCUAGACGUGGAGAAAAGGGAUAACAGCAAAGAACGGCAGCUUAAAAAUGAUUUUUAAAGUCUAAUACAGGACUAGGGUGAAUUAGCGAACCAUGUAAGUGCCAGACGGGCUACUGGCUCCCACAGGAUAUCUCCCCAGGCAAUGGCUCACCUUGAAAAUGAAAGAAGCAGCAAGCCAAAAUACGUACAGAAGACUAACAGUCUGUUAUAUUUAUUUCAAAUAUUGAUUGAAAAAAAUCAAUUUAUAUUCUAUGUGCCAGACACUUAAUAUAUAUCAUCUCAAAUAAUCCUAUAGGAAUCCUGUAAGAUAGAUAUCAUCCCUAUUCUACAGCUAAAAAAAAAUUGUGGCAGAAAGGUUAAGUGACUCACCCAAUGUCACCCAACGAGUAUAUGCACAUUUCAGGCCUGACAGAGCUUCAUGACAAAGGACCUGAGCAUCUACUGGGAACAUUCUGAUUUUAUAAGUGCUUUUUACCAUAGACCAGGGAUCAGCAAACUCUUUCUCAGAGGGACAAAUGCUAAUGUCUCCUCUGUGCCAGUGGAAAUACACGUGAACGCCAGACGGAAAAGACUGACUCGCAGCACUUGAGUACUUUAUGUGCAGCAAAUCUAUGUUGUUACUUGUGACACCACAAGACCUGAGCUGAACUGUAACCCACUCUCAAGCAAGCAGACAAGUGGUGUUGCUGUGAUAGCUACUGCAGGAAGAUGAGGACCCUGGCUCAUCUUGUUGAGAGCAGCAGCUACGGGAGCAGAGCCCACGAGCUCUAGGAGGAAGGGACUGUGCUGGCUCAAUGUCCAGAGAGAGCAGGAGCUCCAAGACCUGUUGUCUAUAUUACUAUGGAUUACCUCCAUGGCUCCUGAUGAACUAGGGUGUGAAUGGCCUGGUCUGACAGUCAGAUUUUUCUAACUCUCAUGUUAUCAGGAUCAAAUGCUCCAUACCUGGACUGUCUGGUAAUCAGAAGCAUCGAUCCCUUUCACGGUAACCUCUCGGAAGACUCGUGGCUCCAGCUCCUCUUUGGUGAGGUCACAGUGAUAAAUGAUACCUAGAAGGAAGCGGAAGUCCUGAUUUAGUCCACAAGCUCACUGGCUGCAAGGGGGCAAGGGCACACAGCACAACUGGAUGCCAUGAAUCACAAGAGAGGAACAUGAGUUGGGGACCUGCUGCCAUGUGAGGGUCACCGUGCCAAGAGUGCUGAUUAGAACAGUCUGUGCAUGGGGUGUUCACUUUUCCUCACUGCCACCACACACAGUGUUUUGACGACCAUCAUCUGUCGUAUACAUUUUAGAAGAUUCCAUAGCAUUCCAUGAGUAUGAGAAGAGGUAAAAACUGUAAGAGUGAAAACUUAACAGGUCUUCCCUAUGCUGGGUCACUUAGGAAUGCAGGUCAAAAAAAGAUGGGGAACUUCAUGUAGGGCCACUUCACCUUGAGAGGUGAAUUAAGAUGGAAAACUCAAAUGACUGGCCCCAAGUCAACAAGCAGCCAGAAGCCUCUUGAUGGGAACUCUGGGGCUCCUGACACCAGACACCCACCUGUCCGUGCACACACACGUGGACAGCAGUCACGGACCAGAGAUGACCAGGUACCAUUUUAGAGCUACUUUAAAAAUUUUUAUUAUCCCAGGAAUUGUGCACAACACAAAUGAAUGAAUGUACACCAAGAAUGCCAGCUUAUUUAAACACUUAUUAAAAAUCCAUUUCCUGAAUUUAAUGCUAUUACACUUUAACACUUAAGAACUAAAUCAAAGAAACAAUAAGACGAGUUGUUACUAUUUGAAAACUGCAGUGGUUUAUGAAACAGAAUUAGUCAUCCAGAGUGGCUGGUGCGGAAACAGCCCUCCCACACGAUACAUUAAACACACACUGUCAGAUAGAUGAAAAAUCGAUUUAGCGAUCCCAAUACUUGCUGGAAAACUUGAAACUAAACGGUACUCCCACAGGGUACAUCUGAAAUGACUGAUCAGGUAUUAAAAUGGUGGCUCUCUUUCUUCUCAACUCCUCUGUGCAUGUAUUUCAGUAACAGAUGAGAAAGGAUACUCUGCACCCCCAGUGGCAAAGAGUAAUAGUUUACACUCAUUAACAGCAAGGCUGCUGAUCCCUAUGAAUGUCACUGCAAUUCUCAUGCUUACAGACAAAUUAUUUUAAGGUACUAUAAUUGGAGGUAUGAUGAAUAUUGACAGAGAGAAGAUACGUAACAUGACCCAAGUAUUGGCUUUCCUGGUUUAAGUCAUACUUGGGUAUUUAUUAAAAUACAUCUUCAUACAUACAGUACUUCCAAACUAUGCUCUGGGCAUACAUUCUAAUGUACCAGAUAUACUGAUUACUGUCCUUGCCUAGAGGAAUGUAAUCUUGAAGGCAAGGCUAUUUUCAGAUAUAUGUUAAUUUUUGAAUAGCUUCUUGAUCCGUACUUGCUUCCCUUCCUCAAAACACAUAAAAAAGUCCAAAUCCUUGAAAAAAAACCCCAAACAACCAAACAACUAACAAAAAUGGCUGCAGACCGAGCAUGUGCUGUUUGAGCACCUGCCUCACUCUGGUAUCGCUGCAACCUGUACUGCAGUGAAUGAGAAAGCACCUGGCAGCCAGGAUUCCCACCUCUGACAGUUGCUGGGCCAGUGACCUCAGACAAAUCACCAAAGUAUUAGAAUGCAAAUUCCUUUGUGAAAAACAAUAAAUAGGAAAUGUA